UUUUAUAUGAGAGUUUGAUCCUGGCUCAGGAUGAACGCUGGCGGCGUGCCUAAUACAUGCAAGUCGAACGAGUUCUGAUUAUUGAAAGGUGCUUGCAUCUUGAUUUAAUUUUGAACGAGUGGCGGACGGGUGAGUAACACGUGGGUAACCUGCCCUUAAGUGGGG
rnacentral:rRNA from 1 species